CGGUCUCUAGCUCAGUUGGUAGAGCAACUGACUCUUAAUCAGUGGGUCCAGGGUUCGAUCCCCUGGAGACCGACCA
rnacentral:tRNA from 1 species